ensembl:lncRNA SOX2-OT SOX2 overlapping transcript
CAAUCAAACUGCUACAAGACAACACCCUGAUCUGGCAUGGACAUUCUCAAUACCUUCACAGAGGUGAAGAAGCAGCAACCAAAUGAAUUAGACAGCAACAUGAUUCCUAGAGAAUGGCAAGACCAAUUCUUCAACUACUUCUUCAGCAUUUCUGAAACAUAUGGAAGAUGGCCCAUUGUGCUCUCUUAAUUCUUUGAUAAUCUGGACAUUGACUUUUCCAUUAUAUGACCUGGGCUUGUGGGCAUCAUGUCAUAAUGCACCUGUUCAGACAUCUCCCUGUACCAAUAUGGAUCACUUGAAGAGACUCCUUUGCCCCCAUCAAAAAGGAUACAGUUGUGUAUCUCUUCCAUUUUUGUUUACAGUGCCUAAAAUUAUUUGAGCAGUUUUUCACCUCUUCUCUGAUAAACACCUUAUUAGUCCUUAAAAAGAAAAGAAAAAAGGAAAAUAAAACUUUUAUUGAGAUCCUAA